rnacentral:rRNA from 1 species
CACCGCGGUUAUACGAGGGGCCCAAGUUGAUAGCCUACGGCGUAAAGCGUGGUUAAGAUAAAAAUGUAACUAAAGCCGAACAUAGGCAAAGCUGUCGUACGCUUACGCCAAUGGAAGCCCAAUCACGAAAGUAGCUUUAUGUUUUCUGAUUCCACGAAAGCUAGGGAA